GAAACACCACUCCUAUCGAUCUCCUCGAGGAGACACCGCCGCCGCGUGAAACCCCGGGGCUUCCUCCUCCGCCGCCAUCUGGUUCCCCUCCGCUCCCAUCUGCCGCCUCUGCCAAGAUCCGAGGCCUCCGACUUGUGGGACGCCGCCGCCGCCGCGGAACCCUCGGGCAAGGCAUGGCGUGGCCGCUUCGCGAGCAGCGAGGAGCAGCGCAUGGCCAUGCCCUGCAUCGAGGAGGAGCUCAGGUAUUUUCAAAUCGAGAAGGAACACCACUGUCAUUCUACAUGGUGGUCGCUCCCCUCGAUCCCCUCCAUCGCCUCCAACAUACAAUCUCGCCGUCGCCGAGGUAUGGGAUCGCCGCCGAGCCGAGGUACGAGAUCGCCUCCAUCGUGUUCCUUCCCUGGCCACGCCCCUCCCAAUUUCUUCCCCUAACCCAGCUAGGGUUCUUACCCGCCGCCACUUCCCUGCUGCUACCCCGCCACCCGAUGCCCUCCACGGACACACCACCAUGAUGGCGGAAGGAAGAGCAAGAGGGGGUCGUCGAGGCUGGGUGAACAUGUGGAAGCCGAGACGAGGACGGACACGUCCAGAUCAGGUGCUCGCGCCUGAUCUUGAUUAGUGUGGUCAUGGCGUUUGAAGGUUGAGCAUUAGACGGAUGCAUCCAGAGCAGACCUGACCUACAUGGCUGAGCGAGAUCGAGGUCGGACGCCGGUCAUGUUCUCCUCCCGUGCAAGCUCCGCACUGAAGCAUCCAACAUUCCAACACAUGUUGUAAAGAAUUUGUACACUCCGGAGCAAGUAUUGUGAUUACAAUUACAAACAAUAUUCCUAAGUUCUUGAGGAUGUGAGUGCUCGAUGUAAACUUGCGGUGUAAUCUUGACCGAGCAAGAACGGCGAUGUGAUGCUCGUGGAAGAUGAGGUCAAGGAGGUGAACACGCUGAUGAUAUUAUUGUAACUAAGGUGAGGAGAUCAAGAGGAUCAACAACCUCUUGAACGGGCUCUUCGUCGCUGCCACCAACAACAGUUACGAGCUUGUGAGGUAGCUGCUGGAGCGUUGGAGCAUCCUUGAAAAGAAGAUGAACAAACUGUUGAUCAAGUUGUUCAACGAGGAUGAGAGAGACGACCAUGGUAGGGAGCAAAAGAAGGCGUAGACUGGCUGCAAACUUCGACAGGGGGCCGAAGAAGAAAAAAGAAGAGUGAUUUACUGGUGAAAGAAAAUCGAAAGCAUGUUCGAACUAUUAAAUUAUAUAUGCCCCUGUUGCAACACAUGUUAGAUUAGUACACUGUCAUAAUUCCAACAAAAUGCAGAACAAGUGAUACACCUUUCUCACAAAUAUUACACUGAUGGCAUUUGGCUUUUGACUACAUAGAAGUGAGUAGAGGUGAAUGAAUGUUUUAGGAUGGAGGCUAGGCACUGUGAGCGAGUUCCUUCCAAUACUACGUCUGUCACUGUCACUGUAUGCCUCAUUGCACUGUGAGUAUUAUCCUCUUUAAUUAUCUUGCACUACAGAUUUGUUGU